rnacentral:tRNA from 1 species
UGCGAUGUCGUCUAAUGGGCAGGACAGCAGCCUUUGAAGUUGCUUAUCAAGGUUCGAAUCCUUGCAUCGCAGCCA